rnacentral:tRNA from 2 species
GUCAAGGUGGUGGAGUGGUUAACACGUUCGCCUGCUAAGCGGAUGCCUUCGGGCGCGCAGGUUCGAAUCCUGUCCUUGACG